rnacentral:rRNA from 1 species
GGAUGCGAUCAUACCAGCACUAAAGCAUCGGAUCCCAUCAGAACUCCGAAGUUAAGCGUGCUUGGGCGAGAGUAGUACUAGGAUGGGUGACCUCCUGGGAAGUCCUCGUGUUGCAUUGC